GACGCCGCGUGAGGGAUGACGGCCUUCGGGUUGUAAACCUCUUUCAGCAGGGAAGAAGCCACAAGUGACGGUACCUGCAGAAGAAGCGCCGGCUAACUACGUGCCAGCAGCCGCGGUAAUACGUAGGGCGCAAGCGUUGUCCGGAAUUAUUGGGCGUAAAGAGCUCGUAGGCGGUUUGUCGCGUCUGCUGUGAAAGCCCGGGGCUUAACCCCGGGUGUGCAGUGGGUACGGGCAGACUAGAGUGCAGUAGGGGAGACUGGAAUUCCUGGUGUAGCGGUGGAAUGCGCAGAUAUCAGGAGGAACACCGAUGGCGAAGGCAGGUCUCUGGGCUGUUACUGACGCUGAGGAGCGAAAGCAUGGGGAGCGAACAGGAUUAGAUACCCUGGUAGUCCAUGCCGUAAACGUUGGGCACUAGGUGUGGGGGACAUUCCACGUUUUCCGCGCCGUAGCUAACGCAUUAAGUGCCCCGCCUGGGGAGUACGGCCGCAAGGCUAAAACUCAAAGGAAUUGACGGGGGCCCGCACAAGCGGCGGAGCAUGCGGAUUAAUUCGAUGCAACGCGAAGAACCUUACCAAGGCUUGACAUAUACCGGAUCGUUCCAGAGAUGGUUCUUCCCCUUUGGGGUCGGUAUACAGGUGGUGCAUGGUGUCGU
rnacentral:rRNA from 1 species